rnacentral:rRNA from 1 species
AAUCAACGCUGGCGGCGUGCCUCAGACAUGCAAGUCGAACGAUUAAAGCUCUCUUCGGAGAGUGUAUAGAGUGGCGCACGGGUGAGUAACACGUAAGUAAUCUACCUUUGAGUGGGGAAUAACCCGGGGAAACCCGAGCUAAUACCGCAUAAUGCAGCGGCACCGCAAGGUGACAGUUGUUAAAGGAGCAAUCCGCUUAAAGAGGAGCUUGCGGCAGAUUAGCUAGUGGUAAGGUAAUGGCUUACCAAGGCUACGAUCUGUAUCCGGUCUAAGAGGACGGUCGGACACACUGACACUGAAUAACGGGUCAGACUCCUACGGGAGGCAGCAGUCGGGAAUUUUGGGCAAUGGGCGAAAGCCUGACCCAGCAACGCCGCGUGAAGGAUGAAGUAUUUCGGUAUGUAAACUUCGAAAGAAUAGGAAGAAUAAAUGACGGUACUAUUUAUAAGGUCCGGCUAACUACGUGCCAGCAGCCGCCGCGGU